ACUCAAUCUGAAGCCAGUGGUGGAAAAACUUAAGACUCUAUCUGAGAAAUUAAAGCACAAAGGUCUAAGGCAUGGCUCCAGUGGUAUAUGUUUGAUCCGCAAGCAUGAGGCCCUGAGUUCAAAAAUCCCAGUGCUUAAAAUAAAUAAAGCCCUGCACUUAAUUACAUGUGAGAAGACUUUGUUUCCAAAUAAUAUAGCAUUCACAGGUUCCAAGAUUAGGGUGUGGAUAUUGGGGGAAGCACCACUUAAUCCACCAUAUUUGAAAAGUAACUUUCACUGCUUAUCCACAGUAAGACAAUGUUAUGUUAAACAGCAAUCACAUCUCAACACAGGAUUGACGUCACCAUCUUUGGUGACAGUGGACCAGCUGCCCACCCAAUGUGGCAGCCUGAGAAUAAGAUCUGUUGCUCAGUAUUGUAACACCAAGGCCACAGGAGAUCAAAGGGUCUGUGUCUCUUGUUACCUAUAGCAGUUGAUGUUAAGAAGGUCCCCAUGCUGGAAGCCAAAUAUCUGCUUUCCAAGAAAUUUUCAUCUGUAGCUAUGAUCUUAGAAUCUUU